GGAAACCAUGACUUCAUUCCUCCAUUCUUCCCAUCUAGGAGGGAUGCUACAGGAUCGGAGAGGCAAUUCUGCCCUGCUCCCUGUUUAGCUGUGUUUAUUCACAUUUAGCUGUGUUUAUUCACGGUAUCCUGGGGGCAUUGUAUGUACCCACCAGUCAUGGGAAGUUUCCUGGCAAGAAGAAAUUGACUCUGUUACAGGGGUAUAUUCUAGGAUUGCCGCCUGGCAGUAAGUAAACAUCAGCUCCAUGUAAGCCAGCUGGUGGAGUGCGAGCUUAAGUUGACUGGGAUUUUUAUAAGGAUUCUUGUGUUAGCUUUCUGUCGCUGUGGCUAAAACCUUAGAGAAGUCAAAUUAAAGGGGAGAAGACUUACUUGGGCUUAUGACUUCAGAGGUUUCUGACUCCACUGCUUUUGAAGCCAAGGCAAGACAAACUAUCUCAGCAGUAGGAGUGUAUGGCCAAGAGACUGCACACUGCCUGCCUCGUGGCUGUCAGAGAUCAGGGAAGAAGAAAGACGCCUUACAGGGGAGCCUGCCCAGUGAACUACUUCCUCCAACUAGACCUCCAGCAAUUUCUACCAGCCCCUUAUAGAUUAUUCAACCAUGCAUCUGUCAAGGAAUGGAUGAAUCCAUUGAUGAGGGCCGGACUGUUUCACCCCGUCUCCAGGCAACAGCCAGGCGCGCCAGGCGGAACGUCAUUUCCUGAAGAGCCC
rnacentral:lncRNA from 1 species